rnacentral:rRNA from 1 species
GGGGGGGGGGGGGGGGGGGGGUGAGAGGGGGGGGUGGGGGGGGGGGGGGGGGGGGGGGGGGGCGCGGGGGCGGGAGGGGGGGGGACCGGGCGGUAGGGUGGGAAGAACUCCCCGAAAGGGGUGCUAAUACCGGAUAAUGUCUUCGGACCAAAGAUUGAUAGGCUUUGGAUGGGCCCGCGUUGGAUUAGCUAGUUGGUAGGGGAAGAGCCUACGAAGGCGACGAUCCAUAGCUGGUCUGAGAGGAUGAUCAGCCACACUGGGACUGAGACACGGCCCAGACUCCUACGGGAGGCAGCAGUGGGGAAUAUUGGACAAUGGGCGAAAGCCUGAUCCAGCAAUGCCGCGUGAGUGAUGAAGGCCUUAGGGUUGUAAAGCUCUUUUACCCGGGAUGAUAAUGACAGUACCGGGAGAAUAAGCUCCGGCUAACUCCGUG